GAUGAACGCUGACAGAAUGCUUAACACAUGCAAGUCUACUUGAACUUCGGUUUGGGUGGCGGACGGGUGAGUAACGCGUACAGAACUUGCCUCACAGAUAGGGACAACAUUUGGAAACGAAUGCUAAUACCUGAUAUUAUGAUUUUAGGGCAUCCUAGAAUUAUGAAAGCUAUAUGCACUGUGAGAGAGCUUUGCGUCCCAUUAGCUAGUUGGAGAGGUAACGGCUCACCAAGGCGAUGAUGGGUAGCCGGCCUGAGAGGGUGAUCGGCCACAAGGGGACUGAGACACGGCCCUUACGCCUACGGGAGGCAGCAGUGGGGAAUAUUGGACAAUGGACCAAGAGUCUGAUCCAGCAAUUCUGUGUGCACGAUGAAGUUUUUCGGAAUGUAAAGUGCUUUCAGUUGGGAAGAAAAAAAUGACGGUACCAACAGAAGAAGUGACGGCUAAAUACGUG
rnacentral:rRNA from 1 species